ACGCCAGUAGCUCAAUUUGGUAGAGCAUCGGUCUCCAAAACCGAAGGUUGGGGGUUCAAUUCCCUCCUGGCGUG
rnacentral:tRNA from 1 species